rnacentral:tRNA from 1 species
GAAAAUGACCCCCCCAAAGCUGCUAACUUUAGGCCUUGCAUUAAUUGUAACAUUUUCU